AUAUAUGAAUUAUAUAUGUAAUAAUAAGUAAAUACACAAUUUUUUAAAAAUGGAAAAAGUUAAUCAAGCAUUAAACAUCUAUCUUAAAAUGUAAAAUAUAUAAUAUAAGUAAAUACACAAUUUAAAAAAUGGAAAACAUUAAUAUUUAAAUAUCUAUUUAAAAAUAUAAAAUAUAGAUAUUACGUAAAUAAAAAUAUAAGAAAUGGAAAUAAACAUUAAAAAAAAUGGAAAAAGUACAUUAAGAUUUAAGCAUCUAUCUUUAAAUGUACUUCUAUCUUAAAAUGGUAGUAAAUUAUAUAAAAAUGGAAAUACCACAUUAAACAAAAAAAAAAUAUAGUUUUACAUCAAGAAAGUCUCUAUAAAACUCAUUAUUCCAUCCACAUCAACCUCACACUAUUAAGGAAAAUUUCAAAGCACUCGAGCAAAAAAAUGGUUUCACUAUCAACUCUUGCCGUCUCAGAAACCUUUAAUGACCUUGAAUG
rnacentral:lncRNA from 1 species